AGACUUUUCGUACAGUGAAACCCUGGGAUGCGGGGGACUGACAUCACAAACGGGAGGAAAUGAGCAUUCCCGGGCAGGACAGACCAGCCAGCUGGCUGUCCAUCAGGCUGGGCUGGAAGGACCUUGGAGAGACACUGCCCACUGGGGUCAAGGGGCACCCAGGGUAGUUAGAAGG
rfam:Equus caballus chromosome 8, whole genome shotgun sequence.